rnacentral:lncRNA from 1 species
AUUCCCUUCUAGAUUCUUCUUACGUUGGGGAUGGGGGAUCAGAGUUGCAAGCAAAGAGAGUAUCUGCCCUCAUUUAUAUAACUGGCCCUUGUCAGUGCACUUCAUUUUACUCUGGUCUCAGUUUUUCUACCAACCAAAUGGGGAUAUGUGCUUUACCCAAACCAACCCAGUGAAUCCUGAAGAUGAGAUUAAAAAAUUAGUUUUUUCAGGUUGUGUUUUUAUUUUGUGUUUCUGAAGAACACAUGUGCGAAGGAGACAGGUCCUAAUCAUAUUUAAAAAUAAAGCCCGAGCAUUUCCUAAGUGUUUGGCCAAUUAUUCCAAAUAACAUUCAUUCCAGAGGCUGCUGGAGGAGGGGCGGGAUGGUGAGUCACAUGAUAGAUGUCUUAGAUGGUGGAACAGCCAGAGACAGACAGUGUUUCAUGCUACAACUAAGCAGAGAACAGAUCACCCCAGAUCUCUCUCGUACAGCCACUGGUGUCCACAGCAGAUCCUGUGUGGCCUGCAGACCUCUCUGGGUUCCUUCUACAGUGUUUCUGCUGAGAGCUUCCUCUGUGCCAGGUGGUUGAAAGGAAAUGUGAUGCUCUGCAAUUGAGCCAGCUACUUUGCUUCCAUGAGGCCUCCGGAUGAUGAAGGAAAACAGAAAUGCUAAGAACAGCAUGGGAAGGUCUGGGUUCUGAUCACUAUGGUGAGUUAUUCUCAGCUUAUUGGUGCGAUGGUAAAAUACUUGAGUGUGAGUAAUCUGUAAACAACAGGGAUUUAUUUCUCUUGGUUCUGG